rnacentral:rRNA from 1 species
AUUGAACGCUGGCGGCAUGCCUUACACAUGCAAGUCGAACGGCAGCACGGGUGCUUGCACCUGGUGGCGAGUGGCGAACGGGUGAGUAAUACAUCGGAACAUGUCCUGUAGUGGGGGAUAGCCCGGCGAAAGCCGGAUUAAUACCGCAUACGAUCUACGGAUGAAAGCGGGGGACCUUCGGGCCUCGCGCUAUAGGGUUGGCCGAUGGCUGAUUAGCUAGUUGGUGGGGUAAAGGCCUACCAAGGCGACGAUCAGUAGCUGGUCUGAGAGGACGACCAGCCACACUGGGACUGAGACACGGCCCAGACUCCUACGGGAGGCAGCAGUGGGGAAUUUUGGACAAUGGGCGAAAGCCUGAUCCAGCAAUGCCGCGUGGGUGAAGAAGGCCUUCGGGUUGUAAAGCACUUUUGUCCGGAAAGAAAUCCUUGGCUCUAAUACAGUCGGGGGAGGACGGUACCGGAAGAAUAAGCACCGGCUAACUACGU